AACCAUCAGAAUGAUUAAUUGAAUUUCUGCAAGCUUUGAGAGGCUUUUUUUUCCCAGUCUUUUUGACUUUUUCAGUCUAACAGCGAUUGCAAUCAUAUUGAAAUACUACGAGCAAAUUAAAGCAUGGCAGUGACUGGGAGAAUCAACUUACCCAGGAGAAAAUAAAACAAGCCAAACCAGAGAAUGAGAGCGAGUGAGCCUUUCUUUGUACUAUGCCUUGUUGAUUGAACUCAGGGGGUUACUUUGUUAACCUCUGGGUCUUGUUUGCAUUUUCCUUCCCUCCAUAAACAGAAACUUGUCAAUUCCCUUCCAACCCAAAUCAUUCUCAUUUUCUAUGAAAUCUCAUGUAGUCUGUGUGAAAUGUAUGUGACCUGUUUCCCCACGUCACCUCUUCUCCCUACUCUGUCUGUGAAGAGGACUCCUGUUGCUCGAUGCAGCCAUGGUAGAGCAGAGCUUGGGGCAAUGCUCUUGGGAAUGUGGAACCACAACUAUCGUCUGCCACUGCAGAGCCCCUCCAGACGGCUCCUGCUUCAGCUGAAGCCAACAGUCCUAAGAGUGGGAUAUUUAAAAUGGAGUGAAGCUAUCAUUUUGGAGACAGUAUAAGUACUUGCAAAAGUGUGUGAGCUCUAGUAGUCUGUAAGCUUUUGGGACAUAGCUUUUUCUUUUAUGUGCAACUAAUAGGGAGAUGUAGAUAGAACCUUUUGCAACUACUGUCUGGCUGUAGAAGCUGCUGUAAUACAAACAGUAAUUAUAAUAUGUCUGCAAUAAAAAGUUUGAAUGUGCACUUCUAGCAUAUGCUAUAGGAAGUUACUGUUUUGAUAUGGGAUUGCUCACUAGGUGUCCUCACAGGAUCAGGACUCACAGAAUACUUUUUUUAUAAUCAAGUUUGGAGAGUUGCAUUUGCCCAGUGCUGAAAUAUUAUGAGCUAUAAAGGGGGACCAAUGAAGUGUUUGUCUCUGAUUCAGAUGGGAGAUUAAGGCAGACAGAUGGAGGUGUCCAAAUCUGUAUCCAUUGCUACCGUGGAGGGUUAAAAUUGUUAUGGAUUGUCCUGCAGAUAAUUAUUGUGCAGAACCAGUACAGGAGAUUGAGCUAAUAUAAAUAAUAAGUUAAUAUAUAGGUAAAAGUUAUUACAGUGAUCUAUUUGAGGGAGGGAAAAGUGGGGAAUCAUUAACAAGCAAGGAGCUAACCAAGAAUUAGAAAGCCAUCCUGUUCUAUAUCAUCCUGUGGAGGAUCAUGCAAGUUUCAAGUUAAAAUUGUUAGUUUCCCAGGAAAAUAUUUUAUGUUCUGCAGAGAUCAAUAAGCCUCUGGGUUAAUUGCAGAAUUUCUUGCUGUUAAGUCCAGAACACCUGCUGUAAAACAAGAGGGUAAUGUCCAGUUCUGUACGCUCCCAUUAAAAAGUGCUUCCAGCGACCAGAAAUAGCUCUCUCCAGGAAACAGAAUAGAGGAGCAUGCAGUAUAAAAGUAGUUUCUCAUGUUCCACAUUAAUCUGGGUGUAUCUAUUUGCAACAGCAACGUGCAGAUUAUUACUGCAUGUCAGAAGAGUUAUUUGUAACCAGGGACAGUACGGCAAGCAAUUGGCAUACAGAUGACUGUUAUGCAGUCAAUUGGACAGGUUCAAGGCAUACAUUUAUGCCCUGCUAGUAUACAUAGCAACAACUUUGUUCUGUAACUGUCAUGACCUCUUUUGGUGCCACUUUCAUAUCUCACCCAGAAGGGUUUUAGGCAUCCUUUGUAGCCUUAAAAGCACUUAGAUUUCUGAAUUGCUUAUAUUGCUUAACAUGUUUGCUCCAGAUUCUUCAGCUUCCCACUGCUAUUUGUGAUUUCCACAGCGCUGAAGGGGAUCAUAGAUACAAUCAGCAAUUAAUACUUGUGGUAUUAAUUGGCUUGAAAUCUAUCCUUGCAGUUUUAAUGGUUCUUGCAAUUUUAUAAUUAGAAGGGUCAUACAUAAUGUUUUGCACUUUACUGUGUGAAAACUAAAGCAGAAUUGAUUGCUGAAAUGUGUUUCAGAGUCAUAUCUAUGCCAGCACAAUGAUUUGGGGACACAGGAAAAGGUUCUGCAAGGUUCUUCAUCAUUUUCUAUUGCAAAAGGGUAGGUAUAUCCUAGUCACUGCAUCAAUAAAGAAUUCUCCUUCAAGUUCUCCACUUUCAUCUCCAGCGUCCCUGGAGGCCAGCCAGGACAGGAGUGUUUGGUUAGAAGGUUUGGUCAGCCUGAGAUGCCUGUAGGGCCGGGCUGGUAGGUAUAUGCAUUUCAGAACUCAUAUCUUUUUACCAACAGAAACUGGUAAUAUUAGGGAAUGACAGUGCAUCUUGGUUGUAUCUGUCCUGAGAUAUUGUUCCUUAGAAUUACUGUUACUUGCUUGCAUUUGAAAAGGUGUCAGUAGUUCCAGAGAAGAAGUUAAUUCCUCCUCUUCCUCCCAUCUGCUCACUCAGAUUUCCAGAGUAUCCUGAGGAAAACCUGCACAGGACCUUCAGGACUACAGAAAAUGUGACUCUUUGACUGUUCCCUGGUCAGAGAUGGCUUAGAGUGCCUUACCUCCUCCACCACCCAGCUCUGCCAGAAGAUUUGAAGCACCUUGCAAGCAUGACACCUUCCAGGAGGUACAAGGGACCACAUGACUGAAGAGAGCCGGGAGCUUUGGCGGUCGAUACACUGGGAUCUUGAUUUGUGAAGUUCCUUGAUGCCACAGACAACUAACUUCGCUCAUAUAUGUGUAUAUUACUCCAUCUUGAGAAGAGUAGGUUUUCUCACAUUUCCUGUACUUAAUGAAAUUAGCAUUUCACAUUUUCCUCUAAUUUACAGCUUUAAUUUAGUUGGGACAAUCUAUAUUUAUUCACUCUAAUUUCAAUUCUGGUAUGUUUUUGCUAGUUCAAUUGCUGUUCUCUCUGUGUUGUUUAAACUUUGAGGUAUUUAAAGCAUUUAAUAAUAGUUUAUUUGUCUUUCCUGGUUAUGAUGUAGAAUUUUUACAUUGUCUGAUCUUUCCAUUUGUGACAAUUUGGAACAGUUAAAGCCAAAUAACUAAAAAAGUAACAGGCAGAUUCUGUAUUUAUAAUUGGCACUCUUGAAUAGUGAAAAACUUUAUUUUGUACUUUUAUUGGACUGAAAUGUUUUCCCUACAGUGCUUGCUAGUGAAAUAGGCUUUUUUCCUAAACUUGACACACUGCACCAAUGAAGAACUGUUUAUUGUUAUUAUAUUUGUGUUUAUUUCCAUUUUUCCCCCCAGCUCUGUGGAAGAUUCUAUCUUCUAUUAAUUACACUGAAGGUUUUCCAAUUCUGUUUCAUGCAUAUGUUAGUAACCAUGUCAUACACAAUUUCUUCAGUUUUUGUCAGCCAAGAAGUAGAAGUAGAAUUGCAUUUUCCCUGCCAUAUGAUGUGUAUUUCAUGAUCACAAUAUUUUGGUUUCCCAUGGCCUUUGACAAUAGAGGUAAUAAUUUUUGCCCUAGAAAAGUUCCAAAUAUGAAGUUGAUGUUAAAUAUCUUUAACUUGGUUUGUCAAGAAUAGAAAAGAAAAUUGUCUUUUUUUUUUUUUUUUUACCUCCAGGUUCUAAAUUUGCAGCCAAGAUUUGGAAUAGUUGGAUGAAGCUAAUUUUUAUAACUAUGUGGAAGUUUUUCAGAGUUUUUAGGACGGUAAAGACUGUGGACUAUUUCUCCUGUGCAACGUAUUUUCCCUCAAAGUUCACCUAGACUGACAGACCAAAUUUAGUUCUGAAUUAUGGAAUCACAGAAUCAUAGGGGUUGGAAGGGACCUCUAGAGAUCAUCAACUAAACACUGUCUAAAUUCUGCUAGGCUUCAUAUGUUUCUUUUAAACUUUUCCACAGCAGAAACCGAACCUACCACAGUGUAUUUUUUGAGUUUGACCUAUAUAAUUCCUCUAACGACUUCUCCAGUGGUAAGUGUGGAGUGAAUGACCUUACAAAGCUAAGAGACUGUGCUUGUCGAGUAUGUUCUUCAUUUUAGAGCUGUGUCACGUUGCAGGUCACUGAAUCCUCAGAGACUCACUAGUCUCUGAGAAUGUGAGAAUGGAAAAUGGGGCCAUAUAUAGGAAGGUUAUCGCAAUGUCGCUACUACAGGAAAGCAAGAAUCUUCUAAACAAAGAGUGAACUAAACACUGUCAGACUCAGCAGAGACAUUUGUAAAGCUGAAAAUUCUACUUGCUGCAGAGUUUAUUUCUUUCUCAAAGCAGGUGCAAAUAGCUGUAGCACCAAAGGAAUCCCAGACUCUCUUCCACUCUGCUAUACAGCCCACACUUUCAUAGGAUGAUUUGAAAGGGAAUCUUGGUAUUUUCUGUCCAAAUUUGGACGUGGAGUAGCAAGCCUGGUCUGACUCUAACUGCAAGAUAAGCUAAAUGAUUUUUUUUUUUUGGAAGGUUGUUGGUUUAGCUCUGGGCUGGAGACUCUUCAUCCUUAUACAUAUGACUUUCAGAGGACACAGAAGCCCAGCCUCAGCUAGCAAGGUUUCCAGGGUUACCCAUUCCUCAGUUAACUUUCCUGGUUUGCACCAGAGAAAUCAGUAAUAAAAGACAUGGGUAAUAAAUACCAGUUCAGUCUCACAGACUCUCCGUUUUCCAGUGAAGACCACCAGAAAAUGUCAGUGUUACAGUCAACAGCCAAGGGCUCACCUGAUUAUGGGUGUGAGGACUUUUUGUGCUACUGUGGUUAACAUGGCAGAAAAUUCUAACAUAAAUGAGUCAGCUUGCCCAAGGCAAAGGCUUUUUUUUCCACCAAAAUUUUCCCACCAUGUGGCAGAUGCUAUCCUGUUCUUUGGACAGCCUUUAACUGAACAUCUCCCAGUGCUUCAUAGACACUAAGCCUGAAAUAUAUACUGCAGCUUUAAUUCUAUCAUGGCCGUUCAUAUUCCCAUACAGGACUCUUAGUCUGCUUUAAUUUGAGAGUUGAAAAGGGAGAUAGGCAAAGCUAGUACGAAUUUGAAAGACUUGACCAUUUCUCUGAAGUAGUUUGUUUAUAGUGCCAUCAACUGAACAGAAUGGCAUACUGUAGAAGUUGAAAGUAAUUUAUCUGAAGGCUGCUGGUAGAAAACCAUGAUAUGACAGUAAAAACCCUUAGGUAUCAUUCUUUCCUCCGCUUCAAAACAAUCCAGGAAUAAUUCUUAAACAUCUUACCAGCAUCCAAGGUAGUUUAGAGGAGUAUUGCAAGUGUGUAAAUUUCUCAGUAAAAUUUACUAUUUUAUAUAAAAUUCAUUCAAAUAUUUACUGCUUCUAAAUUACUAUCUACACUUUAUGUUUGGUCACUGAAAAAAGAUUACAUUGUAUUUACCUCUAAAUUCAUGGCUUCUGAAUGAGCUGAUGAGCUAAUGAGUCCAUUAAAAUGUGUAAUCAUACAAAUGCAUACUUGUGUGCAUUUAACGUGCUUUUGGUUUGGUUGGGGUUUGUGUGUGUUGUUUUUGUCUUUUCUUCUCGAAUGUGCCCUUAUGAACAAAACUUUAUUUAUAUGAAGGUUCCCCUCAUGUGGGUGAACACUGUUCAGGAAUGCUUUCAGACAUAGUUUGAUUUUUAUUUGAAUCAAGGUUCUAAAAACAGUUUUAUGCAAUAUUGUUAUUUCUACACCGAAGUAAGUUUCGAAGUGGAUUAACACGUGGUACCUGAGCUUUAAUACUCUUCCAUUCUCAAUUUGAAUUUAUCGGCCAUGGAGUUUCAAACUGGGGAAUAUCUUUAACCUUUUUAAUUAGUUCUUCAUUGUGGGGAACAGAACAAACUGGCAGACUACAGUCACAAUUAUCAAAAGCAAAUACAGACAGUAUUACACAUCCAGCUUCUGAUGAGAAAGGAUAAUGAGAAAUCUGAUUUGAUCCAUGACAAACCAUGGGUCAGCAAAUCAUGCCUGCUUCUUGUGUUCUAAACCAUGCCUUUUUUUCACUAAUUUUAACUUCAAUUUCUUUUUCAGAAGGGCAAACUCACGAACACUCACGCUUUCAUCAUCUGGGAAGCACUUGUAAUAGCCAUUCAAUAAUUUAAAAUUAAAAUAGCCCCCUGUUGUCUUUUCCAGGUAUAAUGCAAGACAGCUUUAUUUCCUUUUUUUCUUUUUCUUUUUCUUUUUCUUUUUCUUUUUCUUUUUCUUUUCUUUAAGAGGCUUUUUGAGACCUUAAAUGACCAACAUGUGAUCUGCCAUUAGCUUCUGCGACUGGAGUAGUGUGGCACAGGCAUCUAUGGGAAGCCUAUGGAGGAUGUUAUGAAGGCUUCAGACAUUUGUCUGAGGCAACUAAUGGAAGAAUAUAAUCAUUACAAACACCUUCAGUAGUCAACAGAGAAAGAGAGAAGCCUUCCCAGCUGUUCAGCAAAAUACUCUGCUAUGUGUCUCUUUGUUCCCUGCAUUUUGCUCCAGAGCGAUCCAGUGCCCUCACUGUUUGCUGACUGAGAAUUCUACUUUUAUUAAAAAAGUAAAUUUGCCUUGGAAUCAGCUAGUAUCCUACAGAAACCCUGCAAGGGUGCAGGCAGUAGGUGCUGAGAGCAGAUGUAGUUGCCACGUAGAGAUUAACCAGAUGAGUGUUUCAGAUGGCACUGCUGGGAUUUGUUACUGCUCUCUGAUGACCAAACACUGCGGAAACUAUUAUGAGAGUGAAAUUUGCUCUGUGCUGUGCUGCUACAAUACAACUACUGUUUCUUUUCAUCAACAUCAGAACAUGAAAAUAGAGCAAGAAUCAUGCACAAGCUGCAGCGAAGCUCAUAUUGAAGAUCUUCAUAUUUUUUGCAGCUAAUAAUGAAACAUUGUUCUUCAUACAAAUGCCUCAUUAACUCAUUAUUCUAGGCAAGGUGCAAGUUCAUAUAACUCACAAAUUAUGUUAUUUCAAUAAUAGCUGUGGAAGUUAGAAUGGAAACACUUUAAUCUUGCAGAGGCAAAUGUCAUGACAACAAUCAGUAAUGUUGUCUUCACUGUAUUAAGCCAGAAGCUGUGCUGGAAAAUGAAUAUGCUCCAUAUGCUGAUAGGCACACCCAGAGCCGCAAGCAGCAAUCUUUUUUUUAUAAAGCAGGAUUUAAGAGUGACAUUUAUACCAACCUUUUCCUUUAUAACAAAAUUUUGUUUAAAAACCUCCAAUGUAUUUUGCUUAUAAGUGAGGGCUUUUUUUUAUUCGUUCUUUUUUUUUUCUAAAUACAAAGCUGGGGACCUCUGGGCUCGGGAGUUCUAUGGCUAUUAUUUUUAUUUUACAAGUUUAUAAUCCUGCAGAAGUUCAGUUUAUGUUUCUGUAGUUCUCAUGCCAUAAUGUGCAAACACAAAAAGCAACAGUAAAGAAGAAAAUCUGAAAUAUUCUGACUUUGAUUUUACUGCAUAAGGCCCAAUCACAUUUUCCUAUCCUCACUUACACCAUUAACUUUUCUGUUAUAUUUGUUUAUAUUGCUUUUACCAAAAAAAAAAAAAAAUGUUUUUUUUGCAAUUUAUUUUCUGAGUACCAGGAUAUGCAGAUAGUUCCAGUGUUCCAUGGCUUAAACUGGACUAUGGUUUCAUUACAAAAUAAACUUUUCUCAGUUAGUUACUGUUAACAUGGCCCACCUAGGACAAAAUUUUGCUCUCCCACCAACCCAUUUCAUUCCUGAUGGAUAGAGGUCUGGAAUUCUGCAUACGCACCUGGGCACAACAAAAUCCCUCUGGAUUCUGCAAUCUUCUCUUCAAGUUGGUUGUUCUAAAGUUAAUUUGAAGCUUCAUAGCUUGUGGCAGCAAUAAAUAACAGAAAAGUAUUAGGCCGUGCAACUCUUGACUCAAGAAAAAGAGAGAAAUUUGAAGGGGAUGGGGACAGUCAACUUUGUUGACCCUGCUGCUAACAAAGAGGUGAAAUGAUGGGAAAAUGAUUGCUGUUGAUUAGAGGGGCCACCCUUAUGUCAGACUCACUCAAAAAACGUGACAGCCUGGGAGAAGUAAGUUUUCAAGACCUGUGUAGAAUCACACAGUUAUUUUCCUGCCCCAGCCAUUUGUAGCCAUUAGCAACUGCCUGUGUUACUUAUCCUAUGCUGGACUGUGUAUUUACAUGCACACAGGUAUGUAACAUUAUCUGUGUGUGUAUAUAUAUACACACAUACACACACUUAAUGGUUUUCUAGUAUAACCGAACCUCUUCUUGACAAAUAAUGGAUAUUACAAUAUAUUACUAACAGUGAAGAAUUUUCUUAGUUGCUUGUGCUUUUUUGGAGCAAAAGAGACAAGUUUCCGUGGUUAACAUGAAAUCAUGUGGACUAUGGUGCUCUCAGUUAAGAGGUUUCCUACUAUUUACUAUCAGAUCUAGCACAGCACCAAACAAAGAAUCUCUGUACCCAGUUGAAAUGUCUUUUUUAGACGCAGAAAUUUGGUCAGAAAAAGUCUACAGUGGUGACGUGCAAGAGCCAGAAACCUCACACUGCAGCUCUAGGUUCAUUCUAGUUCUAGGGAGACAUAGCCAGCCCUGAGCAAUUAAUAUCCUUUUCUCACACCCAGCUUCAGCCAGGAGGUGUCUUUCCUUCCUGGAAAAUGUUCCCAUCCAUUUUGUAACAGAUGAAGUAAGACAUCCUGGUAAGUAAAUAGGAAUUUGUAGCACUGUAUGAAUAUUCAUUUUUUCUGUCCAAACACAGCGAUUAAAACCUAACAUUUUAACCUCUGGAGAUUUCAGAAUGUGCAAAUCAGGUGCUAAAUGGCAGCUUUAGGAAACUAUUAAUACAAACCUAGUUUGCUCUGCUAGUAAAAAGCAGAGAUUUCUUAUCUCCAAUUUAAAACAUGACCCAAGUGGAUAUAUUUAUCAUUGCAAUUUUUGUCUUAAUACAUCAGUUGAUAGCAGGAGGACUGGAGCCAGAAGCAGCCACAGUCUCUGUGUGCAGUAGAAGGUGUAGAGCUGUGUGCCUGAACCUGCACCGUGCCACCUGCAACCAGCCCUGGAAUAGAAGGAAAGGUGGGUAAUACCCUAACUCUGACAGCCCUCCAUUAGAUCAUGUCCCUGAGCACCACAUCCAAACAGUUUUUAAACACAUCCAGGGAUGGUGACUUAACUACUUCCCUUGGGAACCUAUUCCAGUGCUUAACAACCCUUUCUGUAAAGAAGUUUUUCCUGAUAUCCAACCUAAACUUACCCUGGCACAACUUAAGGCCAUUUCCCCUUGUCCUGUCACCAGUGAGAAGAGACCAACCCUGCUCUCGCUGUAAGCACCAUUCAGAUACUGGAAGAGAGCAAUAACGUCUCCCCUCAGCCUCCUUUUCACCAGACUGAACAGCCCCAGCUCUUUCAGUCUCUCCUCAUAGGGCAUAUUCUCUAAGCCCUUCACAAGCCUUGUUGCCCUUCUUUGGACCUGCUCCAGCAUCUCAAUGUCCUUUCUGUACUGAGGUGCCCAAAACUGAACACAGUACUCGAGGUGAGGUGUCACCAAUGCCGAGUACAGGAGCAGGAUUACUUCCCUAGUCCUGCUCACCACACCAUUUCUCAUACAAGCCAGGAUGCCAUUGGCCUUCUUGGCCUCCUCUGGGCACACUGUUGGCUCAUAUUCAGCUGACUGUCCAUCAGUACACCAAGGUCCCUUUUCAUCAAGCAGCUUUCCAGCCACUCCUCCUCAAGCCUGUAGGGUUGCCUGGGGUCGUUGUGACCAAAAUGCAGGAUCUGAAACUUGGCCCUACUGAAACUCACACAGUUAACCUUGGUCCACUGAUCCAGUCCAUACAAGUCCCUCUGUAGUGCCUUUCUCCUCUUUGGCAGAUCAACACUCUCCCAACUUGGUGUUGUCUGCAAAUUUACUGAGGGUGCCUGUGGUAGAACUAAGCAAGGCACUACAGUACUGAAUAACUUUUAUGAGCACUUCUAGCAGGAUAAGCUAUGCUGAACUACAACAGGGAGAUGCUGAGGCUGAGCUGUCAUGACCUAGGAGUGGAUGUGGGAGCUCAUGUUUCACAGAAUGGCUCAAGCACAAGCACUGCUUUGUUCCCAGUGCUCCGUGGGGCAUGGCAUAUUUGCGCCUCUGCAUCAGAGCAGCUAUAGCCACACAACCAGGUAUGUACUAGCUUACUACCUAAGGGGAGGUUUUUUAGGAUUUGCUGCUUGUCUGAUGACUGAAAUUGCCAUCUGGAUCUCAGUGAGUGGUACUUCUAGGCAAACCUUUCUAGUGCUGGUGGGAAUCAAGCCAUAAAAACAUGAAUGCCUUCUUAAUUCUUUUUUUCAAGGUGGUGACACCCAGCUAAAACACUUGAAAGAACGAUUUAAGCAAAGUGACAAGCUAGUGGCACUUUUCUAACUAUUACUUUUAAACACUACAGGUUAAUCUCUUUGAUUGGGAAGCUUUAGGAUUCUUUUCCUAGAGAGCUCCCAAUGGCAAUCAGUAGAAAAGUGAAAACAUCUAAAUCAUCUCUUCUGAAAGCCAGUGUGAAGGAAAGGUAUGCUCUGAAGUCUGCACAUCAGGUCACAGCAUAAAAGAGAGAACAAGGUAAACAGUCAUGAUCUGUGUACCACCUUUUUUUCAUCUAGGAAUAAUUUCCUUUUACAAAAGAUCCAGUCUGGGUAAAAAACCAAAAGCAGAAUCUGUCUUAACAAAGCUAUUGAAAUUUGAGCAAAACUUUCAGUCAUUUGCAGCAAGAAAGGCAACCUUAUGACUCCAGGAAUAGAUUCCUUUUAUGUCUCUAUCAAAUCUGAAGCACAUUUUUAGAAUACUGCUAAAAUGACAGUUUGGAGGAAAAAUCAUGGCUGUUCAUCAAAUGAAUCUCAGUCUGUAGCGCAGACAUCUCUAAGCACUAAUAUAUUAAGUCGUGGAAGGAUAAGUUUCCAAGGUUGUCUUGGUGCUAAAUAAUGCAUGCAUGUUUCAAAUAUCCAGUGUGCUUAUUUCAUAACAUGGGGCACCUGCUGUUGAUAUUUCAAAUGAAUAUGUAAGAAAAAGAGUUGUUUCUGUCUCUUUAUUGAGGUUUUUUUUUUUCAUUUUAUAUUGCAUCUUCAAUAUGAAUUAAUUAUUUUCAGCUUGCUUGCCCUUUUUCUAAGAGCUUCAACUGGUAUGAGCACAAUAUUUUGUGCUUAAUCUUUGAAUGCAAAGUAUGAUGAGGAUUGAGGUCUUAUUUCCAAAUUGUUGAAUAAAUAUUAUGAUAAGGUAGCAAAUUAUUAAAUAUAACUUAACUAGAUUAAAUACUGAAAGUGAUUUAGAAGUCUGUUUAACUUAAUUUUUUGUUUUAUUUGUGAAUCUUUAGCUAGGAUACUUUUUAAAAUCCUCUGUACCUGUGACAAACCAAUAUACUUGAUUUCUAUUCCUUGUGUUCACCAUGGAGGUACUUCUAAAACAUUUAUAAUAAUAGCAUUGUGGUUACAUCAAGUAAUUUGUCAACUCGGAAUGGAAAUAUUUGUAAAAGAAACCACAGUGUCUAAAAAUAGAGCCUGUUCGUUGGAGACGAACUCCUUUGAGCAAGAUGGUUUUUAACAGCUGGUGAAGUGUUGAUUUUUUAAGCCAUGUAGGUGUUGUGCACACAUAAGAUGUUAGUAAUUGUGUACCGGGAGCCACACAUUUCCUCUGUGUACACAGAACAAGAGCGCUUCCUCUUUCGAUCUCUGCCACCACUUAUCUCUCCAGGUCAUAUUAAAGAACAGAUGGAGUCAGUCUUGCUGCUGAUGAGAGGAAAUGUAGAGGUGACAAAUACAUAUCCAAUGACUUUCUGUUGCUGUUCUGGAGUGGAGACAAAUUCAGUGAGAAUAUAAAUGUGUGGUAAGAAGGCACUGGGAAAAUAAAUGUAACUAGCAUGUCACCCACAAGAAAUGUGGUGUGUUUAAUAGACUGGAUUGGUUUUCAGCGCUCUGUGGCAGAUUACUUAGGAGUUACAGUGAGUUCUUUCCCAGACAUCUGGGUUAGUCUUACGACAUAGUCGUAUGAUAUCAGCUGCACAUAAAGAUGUGUUGGAAAGUAAUGCCAGGCACUCAGAUGCCUGCAAAUCUGGCAGCAUAUGCAGAUUUCACAUUUAUCUGAUCUGAAAAAUGUAGCUCUGGGGAGACUCAUCCUUUUGGGAAGAUAUUUUCAUAUUUUAAGGUAUAGUUAACAAAUACUGUCUUUGGCAUAUGCUAUCAUAGUGUCUUAAAGCAAAAAAGAACAUAAACUUAAUAGAGCUGAUUAUGCUGAAACAUGCCUUUAUACAUUCUUAGUCUCUCUUUUGCACACUGCACCUGAUUUUAAAUCUACAAAGUCUAUUGGAAACAUAAGCAUAUGCUUUUUUUUUUUUUUUUUUUUUUUACUCUUGCUUAUUAGGAAAGAUUCAGAUGAUAAGCAACAAAGGGGGACCUGACAGUGCAUUCAACAAAUUUACAAAUUAAACAGGUGCAUGAUAAGUAAGUUGGAAUCACUUCAUUUACAUUCAUUUUUCGUGAAGUAAAUCCUAUAGCACCAGAAUGCUAGUACUACAUAGGCAGUAAGAUGAAAUAGAAACUGAAGAAUCAAAAAGAAGCUUUUGAUCACCUUGAUAAUCAAAGGUUAAUUGUAUAGAAAACUCAAGGAUUUGAGUGGAUUCCCUCCUGGGUUUCAGUUUUGUUUGAGACUUUUCUCCUUGUAAUCUUUCCAUAGCCUUGACCUAUGUCCAGGGGUCAUGUUUUCUCAGUAUUUGCAACACAUUUUGAAUAUUUAUGCCUUUCCCUUGCAGUAGGAAUGUUAAGAAAUGUGCAGGUUUUUUUUUCUGGACAGAGAUGACAUCUGAAGUUAGCUGUAUGUUGAAAGUAGUAAGUAUUGGGAUUUGGGUAACUGAGGACAGAAGGAAGAAGAUGGUGGGAAAGGAGAAAGUGAGUGUUGUAGAAAAAAAGGCCAAUUUUUAUUGAGACUAAAAUAAAUGUAUUUUUCUUAUCAUUUUCAUAGCAAGCACAUUUAGCUUCCCUUUCCAGGAUCCUGAAAGUCACAUGGAGGAGAGGAGAUAAUUCACAGUUAUACAUGCACACACAUGCGCAUUGCCUAGCAAACCUCCCUGCUGCAUGUGUUAAUAUAGUGCUAGUUUCUGUGUUUGUGAGUUGUCAUUAAUGGUCUAAAUGUAUGUAGGGUCUGGAGAAGUAUUUUGAUCCCUCUGUAUUUUUGUUAAACUUCUGCUUCUUUUUUGACCCUGUGAGAUAAGUGAUGCAAGUAGUUGAGGGAGUACUUUUUUUUCCCAACCCCACAAAAAGGUCUUCAGAUUUUUCAUUUGCAUGAGAAACUGUUAUUUUAGAAGGUAAUUGGAAAGAAAUUAUUUUUAAAAACAGUUCAACAAAGCAGACAGUCUGCACUUGUAAAUCUCAUUAGAAGUGCUUCAAGCUGCAUCAUGAUGGCCUGGAAUUCACUGAUAUGCAGCUGUAACUCCAGAUGAGUAGAAAAUGGUAUAAAGAUUAUAUUUUACUUGGCUUUACAUAUGAAUAUCAAAGAGUAGAACUUAGUUGUCUGGUUUUUAAAUUCGUUUUUUUUUUUUAGUGAGAGUCAGCUGGGGUUAACAACAAAGUAACUGCAAUUUCUUUUCAAUCAUUAACAAUUAUUAUUACUUAUUAUUUUCCGUUCUAAUUUGGAUCACCUUACAUGAACUGUAGAGCUUUCAAAAGCCAUGAAUGAUACCUAAUGAAGAAAUAACAGUUUAGCAGCAGGCGUUUGAAGUUAAGGGGCUUGCUGAGGAUAGCAUUGCAAGUGGUAGAUCUGAAAGUGAAACUCAGAUCCUUGGAUACCCAAUACUCUGUUUCAAUCUGUCCAAAACUGAGGUGCUAUUUUCAAGAACAGAUAUUAUAGCCCCGUUCAGUGGUUGUUUUAUUUCAUCAAAACAUUUUUUAAAUGCAGUUUUUACUGCAUUUUUAUCAUGAUUCUCACAUUGGGUAGAGUUCAGUAGCCUUGGCCAUGUCAAAAUCACAUACUAGUUCAAGUUGACUGUCCAAGAUUCCUUUCUAUUCAGUGAAAAGGAAAGGUUGUUUUCAGGAAGUGGCUCCUCGUAGACCCUCUGCUAUUGUACUGGCUUGAUCUGUGGUGUGCCUUUCCCUCCUGAAUGCAAUACUGCAGACCAAAGUCAUAAGGUUACUUGAGGGUACUCCUGUCACAAUAAGAAUUUGUCACAGACUUCAUUUCAGAUAUUUCUAAUAAUCUGUAUUCUCUACAGAGGCAGGUUACUGUUCAGCAUUUAGGAAGAAAGAUACUAGAUUAUAAACAAUUCAAAAUAUUGUAAGAAAGAAACAUCCUGAGCUGCCUUUGAGUAAUGCUUAAAAUUAAUUUCACUAUGUUGAGGAUAAGAGGCUGCACAGCAAAAAUGAAUCACUCCAAAGGAGGACUAAGGGAAGUACCCAAUGAUUAAGUGGGAAAAAAAUUGUCAUAGUGUUAAUGACAUUCCAGCUAGGAAAGUAUUCCAGCUAGAAAAGUCUUCCAGAUGUGUGCAGCAUGGUUGGCUGCAGUUGUAUACUAGACAACACUGUGGAGCAAGAUAAAUGCACAGCAGAUUAUGGUUAUGUGAGGAUUUUGCUUGGAGAGGCAUUCUGAUUACAGGAAAACGCUCUGAAGGCAUACAAGGGCAUAUAUUUACCUGCAGUAUGUCAGCCUUCCCAUCAAUGACACCCAGUUAACUGCUCUUUCAUAGAAUCAUAGAAAAGCUUGAGUUGGAAGGGACCUUAAAACCCACCCAGUCCCUUGAGUGCCUCCAAGGAUGGGGCAUCCACAGCUCCUCUGGGCUGCCUGUGCCUGUGCCUUACCACCUUCUGAGUAAAAAUGUUUCCCUAACAUUUAUCCUAAAUCUCCUCUUACUUUACCAUUAUCUUUUAAAAAGGUCUAUUCUCCAUAUAAUACCACAGCCUUUUAAUGAUGUUUGCAACAUCAAAUUUAUUAUUUAAACUUAUAUGUUUCUUUAAGUUUUAAUGUAAGCUUAGGUGGUUUGGAAUCUUAAGAAUUAAUCUUAAAGAAAAGCUCUUAAGUGGCAGAUCAGUAUCAUGUUUCCUACCUUGCUUUAAAGCUUUGAAAAUUGGACCUUGACAGAUCCAUGACUUACACAAAUACGUACAUCUAAUCUCCUUUGAAACCACUGGACAUGAGGCAUUUUAGUAUCUUUUGAGGACCUGUAGUAUAACACUUGCUACCUGCUUGCUGAAUGCAAACCAACCUUUUUCUUGUAAUUUUCUGUCUCAAUAUGCAGUUAAUACAACUGCUUUCACAGUUUGUUAUGCCAAAGUCAGCGAUCCCUUCACUUCCUAUUAGAAGUUUGCAGAGAAGACAUUUGCCUAUGGGCCCAGGGAUGGCAUUUGUUCUAGUGAGAAUGUUUGUUGCUUUCUAGACAGACAGAAGUAAUAGCACCUGAUACUGGGACUUGAUGAAGCAGAUCUGUGAAGCGGAAAAGUAUCAAAGAGGGGAAGAAUGUUGUGACAAAUUUAGGCAAUCUACAAUUCCAUGUAAAAUAGCACAGUGCUGGAAGUUAGCCUGCAUGCUAUACCCAGCUGGAUGGCAUCUGUAGGAAUCAUCUCAUUUCAUAAUAAAUCUGAAAACUUGUUUCUUUUUAACUCGUAUAACUAAAUUACAUUAUUUCUGAACAAAAUAUUUACCCUUGAGGUCAGCUGCUUUGAAAUUACAUUGGCUUAGAGAAUUCUCAUUUAAUUGCAACUUUCACAUACAAACACAGUAAAGUCUGACGACUUUGCUAGUGCUACCCGUGCAUGACUUAAUUUUAGUUACUACUAAAACAGCCUUCCUCAGCCUUAUGAUGAAAAACCUGUAUUUGACUAUGCAAGCAGGUAUCAGCUGACUAGAAUGUGUAUUCAAGGCAGGUGGAAGUGUAACUUCUAAUCCUGGUGGAGCUAUCUUAUGUUGGUUGGGGCAAGGGUAAUCCCCCAAGAUGCCUCAGGAGAGAUCUGUCUUUUAAAAAAUAUUUCAGUGAUUGCAGGCCUCAUUGCAUCUCCCACAGAGCACUUCAGGAUGAUUACAGCCAUCGUAGUCUGAGCACAGGUUUGUCUUCCUCCACUUUGCUGUCUCUCCCCCUCCUUUUGUUCCUUCACAAUGGCUUAGAAGCUUUCUGAAUAUAAGAGAGCAGCUCCAGUUUCAUGGAGUGCCGUGAAAUAACAAAGAAACUCUGUAUCUAAUUUAGCCUAAUAUGAUUCACGCUUCUUUGUUUAGAAAUAGCUGUAAGUGAGCUCUGCAGUUUGGAGUUCUGUUCUGGGAGGUUUUACCUUGUAACCUUAGCCACACCUCCUUCUCCUUUUUACACAAGCAUGUUAUUGCACUUCCUUGGAUUAUUCCAAAACUAUAUACAAAAAAAUUGUGACUCAAGCACUUGAAAAUACAUUGUUUUGUUAUUAUCACUUACAUACUAAAGCUGUGAUUCGUGAUUAUCAUCUUCUUAAGUAGUACUAACUCGUAAUAGAAAAGCUGUUUUCUGGUACUUACUGUUUAUAGCUCCUUUUUGUGCUUUAAGAGUGUACUCCGAAGUAUACAGCAUUUCUUUUCUGCUUUGUGAUUCUUAGACCAUACAAAUUGUUCACUGUCAUUUCUUCUGACGUUUCCUGAGACAACAGAGACUUGACAGUGCAUCAUGUGUCUUUAUGGCGUCAGCUACCUUCAAAUCAUUAACUAAUUAUUGGAAGUAAACAUUUACUGUAUAAUGGUUGAACAUUUCUCAGUUCUAUCUGUCUAUCAGCAUAAUUACAAUUGAUAUAAACUUUAUUUGUCAAAAAUGUCAAAUUGUGGUACAUUUAAACAAUUAUAACUUUUACCUUUAAUACCAAUUUAAGUGCUUUCCAAAAAAAAUCCAGAUCCUUUAAUCUAUCAUUGAAAUGGUCUUUAUUCUCAUUCUUAAUUGAUUAUUUAAGGUAAUAUUUUACAAUAUUCUAGAGCAGUGUGAUAUCUCCAUUUGAAUCAAGUGUGAGUUCAUUGUGUCUAAGUGGUGGCAGUGAGUCACCAAUGGUUGCUCAUGUCUCUUUGUUUGCCCUCAGAUAAUUUUUUUCCCCUCUCUGGGAGCUUCUUUUCAAAACACUGUUUCUUUCCGGGAAUGUCUUCUACUGUGUGUUGAAAGUCACAUUUCAUGGUACAACUAUAUGGGAUUUUAAGGUAUCUUUGGUACUACUGCAAAAUGGUGCUACCAUAAGUCCCAAAGGCACUUAUGCUCUCUUCAUCUCCAUAGUGAAACUGGAGUUCAGCAGGACUUUAGUGUAGACUCAGGUUCAUAACUAAGUUUCUCUCACAUCCCUUUUUGCUCCAGGGAGAGAUGGAGCAUAUUGCCAGGGCAGGUAUAACUGUAACACACAGGCAAGUCUUUGGAGAAAAGAUUAAGAGGCUGUGACUGCAUGAGCAGUCAUACAGAAGCCCUUGCUCCAGAGUCAAGUAGCAGGUGUUCUAAACACUCAGAUUUAGAAGCUAAUGGAGUAAAAGAAGCAGCUUUUCCAAGCAAUGCUGAUUACUAAUAGCUCUCCGGUGGGGGAUGAAGCCCAAACAGCUCACACAACACACGCUCUUUCCUUGGAUUGCACAGCCCAAAGGCAGGGCAGUUUUCUCAUUUUAGAAAAUUGUGAAGUUGUGAGGUUUUCAGCCUUCUCCUAAAGAAAGGAAUCAUGUGUCCCAUACAAUGACAAACGGUUAAUUAAUACCAGAAGAGACCUGCUCUGGGGAUCUGACAACAUUCCCAUACUUUUGAUUUCACACAAACCCCAAAUUUUUUGUUACAUAGGAGAAAUAAAAUUCCAAAUCACAAAUGAAAAAGAGAAACUUCAGUACAGGAAUGCCCACGCAGUUUGUUUUGACCAUGUAAAUACUUUUCCUCUAGUUUUAUUAAAUUGGAAGAACUAUUGAUUUUUUUCUCUCACAAGAUGUUUUAAGCUUUAUGUACUGUGUUUUGCAAACUGUCUGGACAUUCUUUUUUUGUUGUUGUUGUUUAUUUGUGUGUUCUGUUAAUCUAGAUUUCUCUUCCUUGGAAAUCUUUCAUUACUGAUCUCAUUUUUCUUAUCCACACUGUUCUUUCUAGCUCACUGCUUCUUCUUUCUGCUCACUUUCCUCUUCUCAGUCAAUGCAUCUCCACACUAAAUAUUUCUGUAAAUAUUUUGAAAUCAUGAUGAUGUUUUGGUGUGGCUUAUGUAUAUGAAAAGUUUAAUAUAUUUGCUUUAGAAAAAGAGUCUAAGCAUAAAAAAUUACAGUUGUAAUUUUACAAAGCAUCUCUCUCAGAACAAUUUUUUCUUGACCAAUCUGAGCCUUUUCAGAUUGUCAUUUAACAGAAAACUAUGACAGCCUAUGUGUCCACACUGGCAUAAGGCAGCAUUCUGACUCACUGCCCAUAAAGUUUCAUAUGCAGUAUAAUCACACAUGAAUAUAUUAAUUAUACUGUUCCCCCGAGUGCUGUUGUUAUUUUAAUUUACUUGCAGUGCUGAAUUCAGAGCAAACUAAAAAAUAAUGAGGUCAGAGGAACUAAUAGCCAAGUUAUUUUUGAUGUGUGCUGUCAAACUGUUCUUCUUUCAGGUUUUCCUAAUAGACUUUUCCUCUGAAGUAUCUAGUUUCUGUACUACAAUCAUGUGUCAACAUUUUUUUUUUAGAAAAUAUGUAUUAGUAAAAGGAUCACAAAAUUCAAAAUUUUUUUGUAGUAAAGCUGGAUCAGUCAGAAAAAUGUCUGGAGGAACUGUAGUUGCUUUCAGGUUAAUUUUCCAAAUUUAUUCUCCUAUGGAAAUAAACAUUUGUUUUAUAAUAGUCUUUAUAGUUUGUCUUAUAAAAGGUCUUUAAUGUCCUUUCCAACCCCAAAUCUUCUGUGACUCUUUCAUUAUCUCCUAUAGCAGGCUAUACAUUUAAUCCAUUAUAGAAUUUUCUUAAUAACCCACAGCUUUACACAAUCUUAAAUCUCAUACCUGAUUUACAGACUUCUAUCUUUGACAACAGAAGGUGCAACAAGAGUUACUAUAUUCAGAAAAAGGUUGUGAUUUUUGCAAGGAGUGAAUACCAUGUUCUGAGGAGUAGCACAGAUGUGAUCUAUAUAUGUUGACUCUUUGAAGUAGAAGCAUUCAAUGAUUUAUUACCAAAAAAGAUGAAUACUCAGAAGUUGGGGAAGGUACACUCCUCCUGAGGAAAAGAUAUUGUGUUAGCUAAUAAUAUAGCUUCACUUACCCAGCACUGUAUUACGGGACCUCUCGACCUCUUCUCCUUCAUGUUCCAGACUUGCCUCCAUCUCCUAAUUAUGCAGGAGGGAGAGGCCAUCUUUCUUUGUAGAAUAAAAAAGAUGAAUUGCAGAUUAGUAUAAAACCAUUUCUCUUUGCCCCGUUUCUUCACUUUCCUUGUCUUUAAACUGCAAGCAGUGCCCCAAAUAUUUAAACAUAUUUAUCUAAGUAAAACUGUUUCAAAGUACUUAGCAUCUGAGGAGCCACUUAUCUCAUGCUGUACAUUCAUCAAACAUAGCAGGUUACCAGCUACCCUUUAAUAACACAAAUCUAUCAAAUGGACAUCACCACAGGCACAUGGAACUGAAUGGAGUAAAAAAGACUUUUCUGAGGGUCAGAGACUUCUUUGCAAGUUUUUAAACUAAUAAGUCACUCUCUCAAUUAAAAACUGUUAAACACAUCCACAGUAAGUUGAGAUGACUGCAACAUUUUUAACAAGUUUGUGAUUUUUGUGGUGGAGGUGACAGAAUCCAUCACAUGCACCUCUUCCUACAUAGGACUUACCUGCAGACUUCCUUCACAUUGUCAGAACAUUAUUGUAUAACCCUGGCGUAAUAUUUUCUAGCUGUUUUUCUCUGUAUAGCCUCUCCCACCACGUUUAUCACCUCCGUAUUUGAGUACCAUUCAUCAGUGCAUUAAGCAGCUUAAGUACCAUCUGUCAUUUGUUUGUCUUCUGAUGCUCCCUGUAGGGAGUGUAAUGUGCUCAAAAAGGUGCUUUAUUUUGAUACAAUUUUUGUUGGGGUAGAUUUUUACAUGUACAUAAAAACAGAAGGAUAUCUGCCUUGACCUUAGAGAAGGUGAAGAUUUCAGUGAUGUUCUAGGUUCCUUGUUCAUGGGAGCAUUUGCUCUAUGAACUGGAUCCUUACUCCUUAGGAAAGUUUUGCUUUUCUAAGAGGACCCCUGCGCUUCCAGAACGUACUACUAGCCCUUUCCAAAUCUAAGUAGCUGUUUUAAUUAUCCUGUGUUCACACCAUAAAUCACUUCAAUGAAAAGACUCGUGGAUUUGAUUAAGGUGAUUUUCAGAUCAUCCAGCAAGGUGAGGCAGAAAAUGAUAGCAUUGCAGUAUUCCAGUAGCUUCCGUUACUGAAGAGACAGAUAAUUCUUAAUCGUGUACUUUCUGUCUCAGAUGGGUACUACAGUUGAGUUCACCAAUCAGUCAGGAUGAUUUUUCACACUGUCUCAACAACGAUGAUAUUAUCUUUCUCUGCAGGCUCUCACCCAGGCCUUUCUGAGAAAAAAAUCCAUAUGCCACUUUAUUUCCUUCUCAGAAACAUUCUGAACUUUCAAAAAGUUCUCAGGUCUUUCCUAACUUGCUGUUGGCCAUCUUUAAUUUCUGAAAUGCUUUCAUUAAUCACUUCAUUUUGGCUUAAGAGGAGAAUUUCAGAAAUUCAGCAAUUUAGAAGAAAUGGAUGGGAAAGGUAGGCAGCUCUCAGAUACAGUCCUGUUUGUGAAACUUAGUGUGUGUUUCUAUAUAAGCUGUGUUUUGUUUCUCUGUACUUCAUGUUUUUGUUGCUUGUUUGUAGCAUAGACAGAUAAACAGACAGCUGAAGUCAUUAGUCCCCAGAUGCUGUGUUUAUUAUCAAGAAAUUCUAAGAACUGCAAACACCAACUAGUGCAUGACCUUACACAAGUUCAUUGUUAAAGCAUGUUUUUGUGGCAAAACUGAGUGUAGUACUGCUUCCUGUAGUAGCCUAACACUAAAGCACCUGCUAUAACGAAUAGCUCUGAAGAGGUACAAUUGAUUUCGAUGUGAAGAAAUAAUGGGUGAAUGAAUUUGGUAAUAAUAUACAAGUGUUUGUCUAGAGGUGAGGUGAAAUGUGGAGUUGAAAAACCUAUAAAUAAGUUGCAAGACUUGCUGAAAAACUCAAGAUGCGAGAUGGAAGACAAGUGCAGCACAUCUUGUUACUGCUUUCAAAACAACAGAAGAAUCUAGAACUAUUAAUGUGAGGGCAGUUGUUACACCAAAAUUAGUUCUGGCUCUCUCUCUCUGGGCUAUCAGUAAUGCAGCACUAAGUUCUAGCCUUAUCUCUGCUCCGUUGUGCAGGUCUUUCUAUGUAUGUGAUUCUUAAAUCCAUUUAGUGAAACCCGGCAUAACGCUCAGGGUGAUUCUGGCCUCCGUUUUUAAUUAAACUUUUAAAUCAUAGAAUAUAGAUAAGGUCUUUAUUGCAGUCAGUGGUACAUCAUUUCUGUACACAGGCUGAUCCCUGCUUCAUGACAGGGCCAUUGCUAACUUUAAUUAUUUUGGUCAUUUUCUGUCCUUCUAUAAACAAGGACAGAUAGUAAAGUCACAGCAGAGCUAUAAUGUUCAGAAAUCCAACUAUAACCUUUUAUCUCUAUUAGCUCUUGCUCACCUUUUUUACAGUUUAAUUUUACUGUAGCUGAUGUACCAGUGCAGAGCUAUGUGAAAAGGAUUUUUUUUUAAGUGUCCAAUAAAAUCUCCUUUUCUGAUAAUGCAGAGGUUUUCAGGCUCUCAAUGAGAGAUCAUAUCUAAUCAUUUCCUCAGGACACAGUGCCUCACAGGUGCUAAUGGGAAGAGCUGUAGCUCCUAAGGUUUGAUUCUGUAAAGACUCUGGUCCACAAGGCAUAGUCAGUGCCCUGCAGAAAUCAAACAAAGCAGCAGUAGAUGUAAAGGUCCACCAUGAGCAGAGGCUGGAGGGGUGGCACCCAGGGGUCUCUUGCAAAUUAAAUUAUUCUUUGUUCAAAAAUAUGGAAAUGUAACAGUAAUGCUGGGUGGGAUGAUUGAUCAGGGCAAACCUUGCUCUGCUGACAGUACAGAUUGGAACAAAAACUAUGUGGAACAGUACCGAUAGUGAAGAUGUGGGAGCUAUAAAAGAGUGGCAAAAGAAAGUUCAAAUUAUUUUUCUGCCUUUACAAGCAACAGAGGAGAGAGAAUCUUAGGGAUGAGAGGCUGUACAGCUGACUGGUAGGAAAGAGAAGAUUUUGAUUUUCUGGAGCACCAAACUUUAUGAUAGUUUACUGGGAAUUGGUGCCAUUUGUCCAGAACAGGCUGUAUCUUAUGGGAAGGGAGCUAAUUUUCUAAGCUAGAGACUAGCUUGGAUAAGCAGGAAGGUAAGUAGCAACAUGAAACAGGGGUGUAAGAAUAGUCAAGGUAGUAACCACUUAAAUUAAAAAACAGAGUGGUCUGAUAUGGGAAGGAAAGGGAAGGCAAGACAUUUUUCACUACAUUUUUACCCAGGCUAGAAGACUGACUAAUGAGCUCAGGGAACCAGUAGUUCUAAUUGAUGAGAAAAGAUUUGAUUUAACGGGUGGUAUUGAAGCCUAGUGGGAAGAUCUGUAUGAGGAGAAUGUUAAAAUCUCUAUCUGUAACCUGUUCAGGAAAUACAGAGCAAGAAAAUUAAAUUAUAUAUUGAAGAUACAAUUGAUAACAGAACUACAACAUCUUGAAUGCAUAUGAAUCAAUGUACUUACUCAAAUGUUCAGGAGAUUUUAGAUCUGCACCAGAAGAUUGUCUGAGUGCCUAUGUGCAUGCUUACUUCAGUAAUAUAUGGAAGUAACAACUGUACCAUAGAUGACUUCAGCCCAGGAGGAGUAGACAGACAGGGAAAGGCAGUCCUGUAAAAUAUUAGGUUUCCCAAAACUGGAAAAGAAUUUUUUUUUUUUAAUAAAAAGGUAAAGCUCAACAUGUUUGGAAAUACUACUUUAUGAGCUUUUAUGAUGUAGAGACUUCAGCAUUUUGAUAAAGCAUUAUUUUGUGACAUGAUGAAAUAUCCCCAAAGGCACAAUACUUUUUCUCCUGGGAAUUAAAGCAAAGCAGGAAAAAUAAAUAAAAUCUGUGUUUCAGCUGCUCCAAAUGUAAUGCCACUUGUUUUAUCAUGUUGGUCCACAAGGUCAGAGCCAGCUUUUGGUGAUGUGGCGGUAGAUGUUUAAUCUUCCCACCAAUAUACCGUUCUAUGUUGUUGCUGUGUGACAGAUGGCAGCAGAGGGGCAGUCUGGCAAAAUGACAUCUAAUGUGGGAGUGCAGAUAAAGCAAAGGGGUGUAAAUGAAUUCAUCGAUGUGGAAAAAAUGGCACCCCCUGACAUUCAUUGACACUUGCUGAAUGUUCAUGGGGACCAAACAGUGAAUGUGAGUGCAGUGAGGAGUGGGUGUUGUGUUCCAGCAGUGCUAACGGUGACAGUGGACCAUUUCCACUGGUGCAGAUGUUUAUGAGAGUGGUAUGCAGGCUCUUGUCCAUGGCUGGAAAAAAUGCAUAGCUAAUGGUGGUGACCAUUUUGAAAAAUGGUAUUUUGUAGCUGAGAAUUUGCUCAAUCAAAUGGUGUUAUUGUGCUCUUUGUAUCUGUUGUAGUUUCCAUGGAAAUAAAUAGGAGGCCUUACUUUCAGAGGGAAUUAUGUAUAUAUAUUUUUCAGAGGUACUCAUCACUACAUUCUACAUCCUAGUCUGUGCAGAGCAAUACAAUAAAGCUAAAAUCAGGAUCCAAUCCAAUGCUUUCUGUUAGCUAAGGUAUAAAAAAUAAAGCAAACAAACAUGAAACACCCUUUGAGGCUGAAUCAGGUAUAUUCAGAAGACAGCUUGUUUCAGUGCUGGAAAGAACAGUUUUGAAAGUGUUUUUGUUCUAUCUUUAUUUUUCACUCCUCUUGUUAUCAGCUUGUUAAAAUAUUGCCAGGCUAAGAGAGAAAGCUGAGGACAUAUGUUAGCAGAGACGAAGGGGAUAAUAAUUUGACAGGUUUUUUAAAGAGAGAAUUCUUUCAUUUUUAGCAAAACCACUAACUUCAAUUUAAACAGCUCUCCUGUCUGUCUUCAUUUUUACUAUGGUAUCGUGUCUGGCAUUUAAAGAGGGUACAUUUUAAUGCUUAGAGCAAGAGAGAGACUGUAGAAUAGCACACCUGUAAAUCUACUGGCUCCCGUUGGAGGUCAGUAGCAAUCUGGGAUGUUUAGCCUCUUCCAGGAUCAGUCCUGGUAUGAAUUCCAUCAGUUUUUCUGUAACAAUGUUAAUUCCUUCUGUCAGACCUGAACAAAUGGCUUUUCAGUCACAGGACAGCCAAAGUGACAGGAAUAGAUUAAUGUCACACAUAGGAAUGGUUGGAUUUUGCAUAUUGUCACCCAGUGCAGUCAGAGUGAGCAAAUUAAAGAAACGACAUCUCUACCUCCUCUGCUUUCUGCAAAUGCUAACAAAGCUGUGUGGUUUGACUGCUGCUGACAGCUUGGUCCCAAGCUUGAAAAGCAAGAUAAUGUCAAAGGGCUGCUGUCACAAAACUGUUAUAUGCUUAUUGGUCUGGCUAAAGUGUUUCCACUUUAAUGUUUUUCCAUCAUAAAACUAUGGCCAUUUCGACUUCAUCUAUAAUGCUGAGAGGCUAAUUUAUAGUGUUGAGAAGCCAUAAAACACCGAGGAUGUCCUAACACUCUAAUGACUUAUAGAUACUCUCCUUUCAUCUGCAGUUCCCUGAAAUCUGUUUAGCUGGAUGUAUGGUUUGGGAGAGAUGAAGUCUCAGGAUUUCUGAAUUCUGCUUUAAGGCGGAGGUAGAGACAAAAAGAUUAUUCAUCUAGGAAUUUAUUGCUAGAAUAACCAACUGUUGAGCUUGAGACUAGAGUUCAGCCUUGCUCCAAGUAACACACACAUUCUUGUUUUCCCUUAGAGCCUGAAAGCGCAUCUUGAGUGCUUUGUGAAAUAUACCAUUUGUCUUCAAUUUUGCAUCUUCCUGAAACCACAGAUUUCAAAGCACACGGGACCGCUCAGAUAAGUCAUAUAAGCUCUCUUUCCUGGAGAUGUCAGCCAAAAUGCCGCAUGAUCACCAACAAGCGCAAAAAUGAACAAACUUCAGGGAUCAAGUCUAAGCAAGAGAUUAGAGAAGACAUCCCCCCAGAAUGCUCCCAAACUUCCUACUCUGGUUCCUCCUGAAGAGCAGAAUUCUGCUUGGACAAACUACCUACAGACUGAAAUCCAAGUGUGUUGAUGCCCGGGCUGUCUUUUCCCCAGAAGCAGGAGCAAAAGAGAAGAAACUUUUCUUCACUUUGCAAAACGAUGUCUCUUUUGCACCACUGACUUUUUUCACUCCAUAAAUGAUUUCCAGGUACCUGUCUGGAAGAGAAGAAGAAAUACAUACCCCAGGAGGCUUUGCAUUCAGAGAAGAGAUAUAACCCCUGGCAAGGUCACCUGAUGUCCUUUUCUUCUUUUGGCUCUCCUCCCUGCUGCUUGACCCAACUGCACAUCUCACCUCAGUGUUACAGUGAGGCUUUCAGCUCUUGGACACUCCUUCUCUCAUUAUAUUUGAUUGAUUAGCUUCAAUUCUUAUUAUAUUGUAUUAUAAUGUAUUAUCUUGCAUUCUGAUACUAUAUUUAGUAAAUUAGUUUCUUUCUUCUCAGAUUGUUGCUCCUGGUCUUAAUUGUUCAGGGUCCCCUGUUUCCUUUUUUUGGAGGUCUGGAUCUGUGGAUCCCUCCACCCUGCCAGUCAUGGAACUGGGCUGAACCAGAUCGUUACUGAUCAAUCUCUAAAAAUGAAUGAAAUUUGAGGUCUGAGAAAAGAUUUUUCAUGCCACCCAAAUUGUCACCUGGUUACUUCGAUGUUGGGACAAUGGGGUCAACAGUGUGUGGCAAGAACAUAGAGAAGGUUGCCAACUGGGUGGCAUUGCUAGGGACUCAGCCAUUGGUAUUAGUACAUGCUAGAACCAGGCCUCUUCACCCUCUGAAAGAGGAUGUUGUUAGCUGUGAAAGAAAGAUACCCCUUCAAAGACGAUCUGAUGCCUGAGGGGAAAAAAAAAAAAAAAAAAAGGACUGAUAGGGAAAAAGACAUCUGUUACUUGAGAGACUAUGCUGUGGUGGAAAUGUUACGUAGCCCCAUUUUCAUUCCUGAUGAGCCAGACCAAGAGCAUGAUCCUGGGAGAGUCAGGUGUACACAAAGUAUGUGGCAUAUAUUCACAAAAACUGCACCAGAAAGGUAUGCCAGUUCGUGUGCAGCAAUGUAUGGCAGAGGGGAAAGAGGACCCCCUUAUAAACAAACUGAUUAAUAAACUCCAAGACUUUGAGUUCCAUUUCACCCCUCUAUGAGCUUGUGUUUCCGCUAUUUCAAAAGUAGCUGAAAAACUGGACAGAAUGGAAAUAUGAUAGAUGAACUGUCUACUGUGCUUAAUGCUGAAGGAUGCGUGGUGGUAUCAGAUACAUCUGAUGGGGACAAGGAUUCCCAAAACAGCCUAUUGGGCAGGCUGAUCAAAUUGGUUUCCUCCCAGCCUGGAUCAUCCAAUGUCUCAGCUAUCAAAAGAAAACAUCUUCCUGCACAUUCAAGUGACAACAGUAAGACUGUAAAACUGUUGCGUUUUGCCGUGUGGCAUUACCUACAUGACCAUGGAGAAGAUAUGAAGAAGUGGCAUAAAAAACCCCCUCCUGCACUUCAAGCUUGGGUAAAAGAAUUACAAGACAGAUCAACCGCUAAGGUGAACCUCUCCAAAGAGAUGAUUGCUUCAGUUGCUGUGGGACACAGCAAUAGCCAUAAGAACAACAGAGAUAACAAAUAGAGGGGGCCCUGCCCCCAGCCGGGGGUGGAAGGGAUAAUAGAGUGCAUUGGACUGUGUGGAUUAGAUGGCCUGGCAUGUCAGAACUACAGAAAUAUAAGGCCCUGGUGGACACUGGUGCACAGUGCACUCUAAUGCCCUUGAGUCACCGAAGGAAAGAAUCAAUUUAUAUUCAUGGGGUGACUGGGGGUUCCCAACAAUUGACUAUGUUGGAGGCUGAAAUAAGCCUCAGUGGUAAAGACUGGCACUCUUUCUCUCAUUAUAUUUGAUUGGUUAGCUUCCAUUCUAAUUAUAUUGUAUUAUAGUGUGUUAUCUUGCAUUCUGAUACUAUUAUUUAGUAAAUUAGUUUGUUUCUCCUCAGAUCAUAGCUGCUGUUCUUAAUUAUUUGGGGUCCCCUGUUUCCCCUUUCCAGAGGCACAGAUAUGCAGAUCCCUCUGCCCCACCACUCAUGGAACUGGGCUGAACCUGCCCAUAAACCAUUGACAAAGACUGACUAAAUUUUUGCCAUAGCUCAUGCAUUAUUUCUCCUGAAGUCAGUUACUUAACUCUUGGAUUUUAGGUUAUGUUCUAACCCUCCUUCCUCUGAACGCUUUAUUUAACCAUUCACAGAUGUACUGUACAUCUCUUAACCACUUCUUUUUAGUGUUGUGUGACAGUGCCCCACAACACAGCUUCUUUUGUAUUAUAAGGUAACUUACAUGUCCAUAUUUUAUAUAAAAGCAACAACACAGUAGAGAGAUCUGUAAAACAAGAAGACUUAUUUGUUCCCAGUUCACUUCUUUUUUUCAUGUUUACUUAUUAAUAUGCAGUCAUGCAUGGAAACACUCUUGUUACAUUCAAUUUCAUUGGUAUUCAGCUCUUUCAAAAAAGAGUUAUUUCAGUCUCUGGGAAAACAAACAAAAAACACCACCAACAAAAACUAGCAAAGCAAACAACCACCACCACCACCACACACACACACGCACCAAACACAAAACAAAUGAAUAAAAAAAAUAGCCUGGGCUGUAAAGCUGAGUUCCCAGCUCCUGUUUGUGCAAAUAUAAAAGUACAUAAUGAAUAUAUCUGGACACCAGUGUGGGAAGAAACUCAGCUGGAAGCUCUUUGACCUUGUAGAGGAAAAGCCAACAGAUGAAGCUGUCAAUUUGGAUAAAAUUGAAGUAAAAGUAAGGUGCACAUGUUAACAGUGGUGAUAAUUAACUACUGGACUACCUUACCAAUACAUGCGGUAGCAUCUCCUUUACUUGGUCUCUAUGAAGUUGUUAUUAUAUUGAGCAUGUGUCUGUCAAAAGAGACGGAAACACAUGAAAGACAGAUCCAUCAAGAACCAUUAAUUGUGAGCGAGCAUGUACAGUUUCCAUCACAGACCAUCUUUAAAUUGCCAAAUGUGAGAAAUAAACAGAAUAUCCUGUAAGAAGUAUUCCUCAGAACUCGCUCUCUUUCCACAGGUAUUUGUUACUCGCAACCUUAGGAGAUGUUCUGUGAUGCAUAUAAAGGUCCUUACAUUCUUAAAGAGAAUACAGAGGAAAUGAGGAAAAGGAAAUUCUAUAGCAUUCCUAAGAGAAUCACAGCAGUAAUUACUAUAAUGAUUACUUUUGGACUUGAAACACCAGGGAAAAAAAAAGUCCUUAUGUUGUAUGAAAAUUGCAAGCAGGCACACAAGAAGGAUUUAAUGAUAUAUCGACUCAUUUUGAGAUAUCGGUUUCCACAGAAAAGGCAAGUGCACUGAGAACACAAAACAGCUUUAACAUUGCAGUCAAAUGCAUUCUAAGUAUUGAAAUAUAAUCAUUGCUUUCAUUUUUCAGCCUACCAAAACUUACAGGUUUAUGUUCAUUACACCUUGGCAAAGACAGAUAAAAUAGAGACUAAGUAUUCAACUAUUCUGUGAAGAUGAAAGAGAUUGCCAAGCUGCAACAGCAUACAACUAUCAGGCAUGUUCUGAUAGCUAUUUAUUCUACCUAUACUGACUGCGAUCCAACCACUGAACUAAAAGUGGUCCAGCAGCAAUUCCUGGAAAAUCUGUUUGGACAAACGUUUAAUACAAGGUUCAGUAAGAUGAAAUUCCUACUAUGAGAAAUCAAGUAGAAAAGCUAGUCAGAAUAAAAAAUGACAAAAGAUAAAGUGCAAGAUUUAUCAAAAGUGGUCAAUCUGCACACCUUAAGAGCUAUAAUCCAUACAAGAUAAAUUGAUUCAUAAAUUGAUCUCAACUGAGAAUGCCAAAAAUUAGUAUUAAUAGAUUGAUUUCAAAGGCAAUUAAGAAAAGGUUGGAAGGAGCAUUUACAACUCCUUACCCAUGUCUCUCAUUUUUAAUACUGAAACAUUUUUGAUGCAGUGAAGGCAAGGAUCUAACAAAGAGGUGCUACAUGGAACAUGCAACAAUGGGCUGCACAGCAGGCUCCUUCAUGGAUAUUAACAUAAGGAAUGUCCUCAUGAAAAAAAAAAAAACAACAAGGGAGACUCAUUGGCUUGUUCUGCUAUAAGCACUGAAGAAUAAAACUUAUCCUUUCCCAGGAGGCAUCAUUCCAUCAAUGUUAUUUAGUCUGUAGGAAUGUUCAUCAUCACUUUGCUGGUAGGAUACAUUCUACUACUUAGAGUCUCAAUUCUGUGUCAUUUUCUGAGGUUUGUCUGAAACAUUUUCACUGUUACUGCAGAUGAAACCUGGAAGAAGGAGUUAGAGGCUGCCUUUUUCUUCAAUUUCUGCCUAGCAGUUCAUGAAUAAAUUACUCACUGACUACAUGUUUAAUUAACCCUUCCACACUUCCUCUGUUCCUUUCUGUUUAGCUCAUUUUUUUCUAGGCUGCAGUGAAUGGGUAUCGCUCUGGGCCAUAUAAAAAUAUUUGGCUGUCCAUUAAUGCCCAAACCACCGAGGCACGUCUUCAGCUUAUUUGUAACACUGGGGAAAGAUCUUUGCUUUUAAAUGAAGCUGACAAAUCAAUGACACAUUCUCAAGGGUACUUUAAAUAUUACUGUUUGAAAGCUAUUAUAUUGCCUCUGGAUUCCACCACUGUUAAUGCAAAAGAACUAGAUGAAUAAAUAGAGCUAAUGAACUAAAGAAACACUUAGUUUAUAAACUUUCCCUUUAGAGACUUAGUUUUGAUUUGGUUGUCCAAAACUUGGGAGGUUGAAAGUCUUAUUUAUUGAUGGUAUUCUCUGCUUAUGUAUAAUAUAUAAUGCAGAGCAGGAAAUCACAUUCAUUUUAAAUACAUCCAGAAAAAUAUACCUGUAAUGUUUCAUUCUUCUGACCAUGGCAAAGAAUGGAAUUUUUUUUUUUCAAACACUGACAAAAUCUGCAUAGUCUUUGAAAACUGUUGACUAAUAUACAACAUACUAAUAUGUGGGAAGAAGAGCCAGAAUGUCUAUGGCAAUCACACAUAUAGUAUACUACUUUUUUUUCCCCAGUGAUAGUGGCUUUUGAAGGUGAGGAAGAUGGUUGAAAGCCAAGACGCUUUUUCACAUGUACAUAGACACACACAGAUCCUCAGCCUUUUCUAGUUCACCCGUGAGGUUCCAUAUUUCCAAGGAAAUACUUCUAAGAGAGCUGUACUUGUUUAUCCUUUCUCUAAUAUUACUGCUGUGAGCUCUUUUUUAAUGCUCACAUUAUCAAAAUGAUGGUAGAGAGAAAUUCUGGCAUAAUUAAAUGGCUUAGAAGAGGCUUUCCCAUUCUUUUUUCGCUUUAUAAUGCUGUUUUUUAUGACUAUUAACUGCAACAGAGAGUAAAAAAACCAGCCUGCAGAAAUCCAGAUCAGACUCAUUCUCUUUCUUCACAGAUGACCAAUGCAGUCAUCACUUUGAAGUUAUGAAAGUGCAAAAUAUAAAACUUGCUUAAAUAUGCUUAUCAGUUUUGAUAAGUUAAUGGCUUUUUCUUAGUAUAAUUGGUCCUUCUGGGAAUGGUAGUUCUCAUAUUUCCUAUUCAUUUAUUCUUGGCAUCUUGGGAACCUCCACUCUUAAUUUCCAGUGAAAUUAACAAUGAUUAGGCUCAGUUGCUGGUUUUAACUGUCCUGUGCAGAAAGUAGCAUCAUUGUUAUGUUAUAGGAGCUAGGAGAUCUGGAUUUAACUUUUAGAUAUGUAACUUGCUUACAUUGUAUCCUCAUUGUACAAAUCUCAUGUGCUUUUACUUGCAUGCCUCUCCAUCACACUUGCCCAGGAGAAACUAGUUCUUGGUUUUGAAUGCAGAGUUUAUCAAGAUUCAUCUAUGUCUUCAAACAAGACCUCUAGUAAUGAUUUCAGUAAGUUCCAGCUGUUAGGUCAUUACAUCCUUUGAAGACAUUUAUCCAAGAAAAGUAUCAAGAGCUGCAUCAAAGCUAUGUCAUGGAAUCAAAAGUGAGUCUGGUCCAUGGCCUAUUUAACAUAUGGUCCCAAAAGCUGUUCUUGAAGAAUGGGCCAUAGUAUUUCACACCAAGAACAAUCCUGUUAAUUAAGACAGAACCUUGAGGAAUAUAGGAGAAAUGGAAAACAUCUUUUCUGCAAGCAGAACUCCAGGCUUGACUAGUCAUGUUAGCUCUAAGAUACAGUAGUGACAGAGAUGUUGUAAGGCAUUUUGAAGCACUGAAACUUUUCAUUUCCCAUUACCUCUAUCCAACCACCACCCCUGUUAUCUUCUGCUUUUCCCACAUCUAUAGACCUCACCUCAUUAUAAAGCUGCUGAAACUGGCAGAGAUCAGAGAUGUCAACCACACUAUAUGUCUCCUUCAGAAAGGCACUGGCAUAUCUUAAACUGCCCAUGCUGCAGCACAGAAGUUAUAUUUGGGAUAACUAGUCCCAGGGAAGUCACUAGGAAUUCUGCUGAAAAAAAAUGUCCUAGGUAUUUUUGAUAAUCCUAUCCUGUAGUAAUGGGAUUUGUUGAUAAUAGAAGAGUAAACAUUAUACCAGUGCUGUAAACUUGAGUAAACUUGAGGGUAAUGAAUCUCUAAUUAAAUAUGGCACUUGUAAAAAGCAGCAUUUUUUUUCUGGUUGAUUUUUUACUUUCUCUUGACUUUUGGAUUUGCUGAUGAAACAAUGUAGAAAUAAAAGAGAAAGUUCUUGAUAAUUUGCCCUGUUAUUUUGUAAUUACACAUUGGGAAACAAAGUGGAAUGUUGCAUCUCAGUGUCCCAAACCCAUGGUGGGGCACAUCUGAGUGACAUGCAAGAAUUGUCCAUAAAAGAUAAUGAG
ensembl:lncRNA